CUGAACCACAUCUGGAGAUGUUGUUCACAACCUGGAGAUGUGAGCUGGGAUGACACAGCUGCAAUCUCCCUGGGGUCCCCGGCAUUCGUGCCAGUGUCUCUUACUGCAUAGAAUCAAUCCAUUUUCAUUGCUGUGUCCCACCGCUUCUCCAGGAAGGCUCCAGCAGGAAUUGGGACCCACCAGAACCCUGAGGAAGCUGGGCCAGAUGGAGUGCAUUUGGUCAGGGAAGCCAGGAUGUGGUGGAUGCUGUUGGUUUCCUGCCCAGAUCCUCUCCAGCUAGCAAUGCUCCCUGUGCCAGCUGUGGUGAGUGUUGGCUGCCAGCCCCUCACAGCUGUCCUCAGAAGUGUCAGCCUGAACCAGGUGGAGCACCUGGCCUGGGAGGCCCCAUGCCACUGCCCACUGCAGACCAGACCAUGGUCAUGAAUGACCUGGCAGGAGGUGCACAGGGCAGCUGCCUUGCCCGAAGAUGACAACAACUUUGCCAGCUGCUCUUGGGCACGAGGUUUCCUGCAGGCUCCAGCCGAGACCACAUCCUGCUUAGUUUUCCUCCUCUGUCCUGCCCGCCACUUUGCUGCUGUUCUCCUGAGAACACACCCUUGCUCAGUAAAUCUGCUUUAACAAAACCAAUAAACUCAACCUAAAACAAUUACCAUUUCAAUAAUUUUUUAAAAAUCAUGAUUGAUAAUAGACAAUUUCAUCAUCUACUUAGGAAUAAAUCUAGCAAAAUGUGUGCAAGAUCUCUACCCCACAAAGCUACAA
rnacentral:lncRNA from 1 species